GGGCUAUAGCUCAGUGGUUGAGUGCAUGUUUUUCAUGCAGAAGCUCCCAGGUUCAAUCCUUGGCAUCUCCA